rnacentral:rRNA from 1 species
CCUACGGGGGGCAGCAGUGGGGGAUCUUGCACAAUGGGGGAAACCCUGAUGCAGCGACGCCGCGUGGGUGAAGAAGCGCCUCGGCGCGUAAAGCCCUGUCAGCAGGGAAGAAAAUGACGGUACCUGAAGAAGAAGCCCCGGCUAACUACGUGCCAGCAGCCGCGGUAAUACGUAGGGGGCAAGCGUUAUCCGGAUUUACUGGGUGUAAAGGGGGCGCAGACGGCGAUGCAAGCCAGGAGUGAAAGCCCGGGGCCCAACCCGGGGACUGCUCUUGGAACUGCGUGGCUAGAGUGCAGGAGGGGCAGGAGGAAUUGCUGGUGUAGCGGUGAAAUGCGUAGAGAUCAGGAGGAACACCGGUGGCGAAGGCGGCCUGCUGGACUGCAACUGACGUUGAGGCCCGAAAGCGUGGGGAGCAAACAGGAUUAGAUACCCUUGUAGUC